AACGGCGUCGAGCGGCGGACGGGUGAGUAAUGCCUAGGAAAUUGCCCUGAUGUGGGGGAUAACCAUUGGAAACGAUGGCUAAUACCGCAUGAUGCCUACGGGCCAAAGAGGGGGACCUUCGGGCCUCUCGCGUCAGGAUAUGCCUAGGUGGGAUUAGCUAGUUGGUGAGGUAAGGGCUCACCAAGGCGACGAUCCCUAGCUGGUCUGAGAGGAUGAUCAGCCACACUGGAACUGAGACACGGUCCAGACUCCUACGGGAGGCAGCAGUGGGGAAUAUUGCACAAUGGGCGCAAGCCUGAUGCAGCCAUGCCGCGUGUGUGAAGAAGGCCUUCGGGUUGUAAAGCACUUUCAGUCGUGAGGAAGGUAGUGUAGUUAAUAGCUGCAUUAUUUGACGUUAGCGACAGAAGAAGCACCGGCUAACUCCGUGCCAGCAGCCGCGGUAAUACGGAGGGUGCGAGCGUUAAUCGGAAUUACUGGGCGUAAAGCGCAUGCAGGUGGUUUGUUAAGUCAGAUGUGAAAGCCCGGGGCUCAACCUCGGAAUUGCAUUUGAAACUGGCAGACUAGAGUACUGUAGAGGGGGGUAGAAUUUCAGGUGUAGCGGUGAAAUGCGUAGAGAUCUGAAGGAAUACCGGUGGCGAAGGCGGCCCCCUGGACAGAUACUGACACUCAGAUGCGAAAGCGUGGGGAGCAAACAGGAUUAGAUACCCUGGUAGUCCACGCCGUAAACGAUGUCUACUUGGAGGUUGUGGCCUUGAGCCGUGGCUUUCGGAGCUAACGCGUUAAGUAGACCGCCUGGGGAGUACGGUCGCAAGAUUAAAACUCAAAUGAAUUGACGGGGGCCCGCACAAGCGGUGGAGCAUGUGGUUUAAUUCGAUGCAACGCGAAGAACCUUACCUACUCUUGACAUCCAGAGAACUUUCCAGAGAUGGAUUGGUGCCUUCGGGAACUCUGAGACAGGUGCUGCAUGGCUG
rnacentral:rRNA from 1 species